rnacentral:rRNA from 1 species
GACAUAGGUGGCGACCGUUAUCCGGAAUUAUUGGGCGUAAAGGGUGCGUAGGCGGUCGGGUAAGUCUGACGUGAAAUCUUCAAGCUCAACUUGGAAACUGCGUCGGAUACUAUUCGGCUAGAGGAAUGGAGGGGAGACUGGAAUACUUGGUGUAGCAGUGAAAUGCGUAGAUAUCAAGUGGAACACCAGUGGCGAAGGCGAGUCUCUGGACAUUUCCUGACGCUGAGGCACGAAAGCCAGGGGAGCAAACGGG